rnacentral:lncRNA from 1 species
CAGGAGAUCAGAUACAUCAAAGUUCUUUUCUAGGGUCUCAAUCUUUCCCAGUCAUGCCAGAAUUUAAGCCCACGGAAAAACAGAGUUUACAGAGUGGUUGGCUACAGUGCCAAUCCUUUUCUUUCAGACGCUGAGCACAGUGCCAAACCUAUAUAGAAACUCAUUUGGGAUAUGGAGGAGAAUAUGCCACCAGUUCUCCAAAGUGGAGGGGAAACCUCUCAACUCUGGCUGGCUGACCUGCUGCCCUAGCCUCCCCCCUCCUCUCGCAGCUGUUGGGCCAAAAGACACAAAGAACGAGCCCAGUCCUCCUCGUCCCCACUCCUUGUGACCAGGGGAUAUGGACCUAAUGAAUCAUCAUUUUCAGUAUGGCUACCCUGCCUUUUUCCUCCACCCUUUCCCCCCAUUCUCCCUCAGACCUGGCUAAUUAAAAGGAAGGGAAACAGAAUGCAUAAUGUGGGUAACUAUACUGUAAUAACAGUUAACACAAAGUGUUUCCAUUUGCCAAGCACUGUUCUAAGUACUUUUUAUGUAAUCACUCUUUUAAUCACAACACAGUAUGAGGCGAGCACUAUGGAAAACUGAGGCACAGAGACAUUAAGUGACUUGUCCAGGAUCACAGAGCUAGUAGGAGACAGGGCUGGGAUCUGAACCCAGCUUCAGUCCUCCUAACUAGUAUCCUACUCUCCCUUUGACCAGUACAGCCUUUCGAGGGGUAGACAUCAUUUCCCCAGAGCCCACUGGGAAGGUCUGAGGAAUGUGGGGUAAGAAGGUUAUGGAACACACCUGUGACCUCAUGCACACACACAGUCAGGGCUCAAAUAUCCUUCCAGACCCAGGAGCAAAUGUGAAUCGCAUGUCCAUUAACUAAG